CUGAAAGUCCUAAAAUCAGCCAUGGUGAAGAUUCUGGAGAAGGACUCCAGGAAGGGGAAACUCACCAAUCGAAGGCCGGUGGUGGAUGGAGUUCUGGCGGUCGGUCGAGAAAAUGGGUUCAGGCCGUCGACAGGGUCCCAUUAAGUUGCCCAAGCUGGCCUU